rnacentral:rRNA from 1 species
GACGAACGCUGGCGGCAGGCCUAACACAUGCAAGUCGAACGAGUGGCGGACGGGUGAGUAAUGUCUGGGAAACUGCCUGAUGGAGGGGGCUAACUACUGGAAACGGUCGCUAAUACCGCAUACCAUCGGAUGUGCCCCGAUGGGAUUAGCUAGUAGGUGGGGUAAAGGCUCACCUAGGCGACGAUCCCUAGCUGGUCUGAGAGGAUGACAAGCAAAACUGGAACUGAGACACGGUCCAGAUGCCUACGUGAGGCAGUAGUGGGGAAUAGUGCACAAUGUGGGCAAGCCUGAUGCAGCCAGGGCGAGGGUAUGAAGAAGGCCUGCGGGUUGUAAGGUACUUUCAGCGAGGAGGCGUUAAUCGCAGAAGAAGCACCGGCUAACGCCGUGCCAGCCGCCGCGGUAAUUC